AGAGUUUGAUCCUGGCUCAGGAUGAACGCUAGCGGCAGGCUUAACACAUGCAAGUCGAGGGGUAGAAAUAGCUGGCUAUUUUGAGACCGGCGCACGGGUGCGUAACGCGUAUGCAAUCUACCUUUCACAGGGGGAUAGCCCGGAGAAAUCCGGAUUAAUACCCCAUGGUUUUUUAGGGUGGCAUCACCUUAUUAAUAAAGAUUUAUCGGUGAAAGAUGAGCAUGCGUCCCAUUAGCUAGAUGGUAAGGUAACGGCUUACCAUGGCUUCGAUGGGUAGGGGUCCUGAGAGGGAGAUCCCCCACACUGGUACUGAGACACGGACCAGACUCCUACGGGAGGCAGCAGUGAGGAAUAUUGGACAAUGGGCGCAAGCCUGAUCCAGCCAUGCCGCGUGCAGGAUGAAGCAUCUAUGGUGUGUAAACUGCUUUUAUACGGGAAGAAACCCUGGAACGUGUUCCAGACUGACGGUACCGUAAGAAUAAGGAUCGGCUAACUCCGUGCCAGCAGCCGCGGUAAUACGGAGGAUCCAAGCGUUAUCCGGAAUCAUUGGGUUUAAAGGGUCCGUAGGCGGCCCUGUAAGUCAGUGGUGAAAUCUCACGGCUC
rnacentral:rRNA from 1 species